rnacentral:misc_RNA from 1 species
ACAAGGGAUUUUAAAACGAUUUUCGUACAUUUAGGAAGUGGUGAGCAUUUUAGUGAGAAUUAAAAGUCAUUUAUUCAAGCUUAAAUACUAGUAAAAAUUUUGUCCAUUUUAAAUUUUGCUGCAAUUUUUAUAAAAAUUUUGACAGAGUUUCCUCUGUAUUUUGAGAAAACCGUUCUUCGAAUACCUGUAAAAAGCACUUCUAA